GUCUUUUUGAAUUAAAUUUAAAGUCUAACCUGCCCACUGAAAAUUUUUAAAUGGCCGCAGUAUUCUAACUGUGCAAAGGUAGCAUAAUCAUUAGUCUUUUAAUUGAAGGCUGGAAUGAAUGGUUGGACGAAAUAUUAACUGUUUCAUUUAAAUUUUUUAUAGAAUUUUAUUUUUUAGUCAAAAAGCUAAAAUAAAUUUAAAAGACGAGAAGACCCUAUAAAUCUUUAUAUUUUAUUUAUUUUAAUUAUAAAGAUUAUUUUUGUUAUAAUAAAUAAAAAUAUUUUAUUGGGGUGAUAUUAAAAUUUAAAAAACUUUUAAUUUUAAAAUCCAUUAAUUUAUGAAUAAUUGAUCCAUUAAUAAUGAUUAAAAAUUUAAGUUACUUUAGGGAUAACAGCGUAAUUUUUUUGGAGAGUUCAUAUCGAUAAAAAAGAUUGCGACCUCGAUGUUGGAUUAAGAUAUAAUUUUGGGUGUAGCCGUUCAAAUUUUAAGUCUGUUCGACUUUUAAAUUCUU
rnacentral:rRNA from 1 species